rnacentral:misc_RNA from 1 species
GAGGAUGAUGGCUCAUCCCCAGAAGCAUCAGUAUGUGCAUCUGAUGAUUCUGAUGUAGGGAUUAUUGAAAAUUGCCCCAUUGAGAAAGAUUUGGAUUUAUGUCAAAAAGAGAAAAUUGAUCAACAAAGAUCUCAAUCAAUGGAAAACGUAGAGAGUUUGACAGAUAGACUCGCUGCAAGCUCUAGUGAGAUGCUGGAUACCUCUGACAUUAAAGGUACUGGAGACCCUGAUAGGAUGCAUGAUGCUAAUGAGAAUGGUGAUCUUGCAUUGUAUCAGGAAAAUCCAAUUACUUUGCAUAAAGAACCUGACAUGGUAGAAAAUGGGUUGGAAAACGCAGGGGUCACUAGUGGUGACAUGCAAACUAUGGUUGAUGAUGUGAUGGAAGAAUCAGAGGUAGAAAAUGGGUUGCAUCAACACUCGGAGAAGGCAGAGAUCACUGCCGGUGACAUGCAAACUAUGAGUGAUGAUGUGAUGGCAGUAUCAGAUGAGAAGCAAACGAUCAAGGAUAAUGUGAUGGUAGAAUCAGAUGAGAAGCAAACAGUCAGGGAUAAUGUGAUGGCAGAAUCAAAUGAGAAGCAAACAGUGGAGGAUAAUGCUAUGGCAGAAUCAGACGAACAGCAAGCUGCAAAAAGGCUUCGGGUUACAGCUCCCCAAGAAGCGGAGGGAGAUGUCACUGGAAGCCUAUCGAAGGAUCUCCAUUUGCAAUUUAGGCUGUAGGUGGAGCUCUCCUCUUAGAUUUUUGUUAACAUA